CCUAGGGGAGGCAGCAGUGGGGAAUAUUGCACAAUGGGGGAAACCCUGAUGCAGUAACGCCGCGUGAGUGAUGACGGUCUUCGGAUUGUAAAACUCUGUCAUCAGGGACGAUAAUGACGGUACCUGAGGAGGAAGCCACGGCUAACUACGUGCCAGCAGCCGCGGUAAU
rnacentral:rRNA from 1 species